rnacentral:misc_RNA from 1 species
UUGUGACAUAAAUUAAGGCACAAAAUUGCAACACAUUACGAUGAUGAAAGUAUAUAUCAUCGUAGUAAUGUGGAACAAGAUACGUUGAGAGAAUUCAUCGUAAAUGGUACAAAAGAUAGAAUUCCUCAUGACCUAGUUUUCUGGAAUUUGUUCGGGCGUCCACCAAAAUCAUUACCCCUUCCACGCGAAUGCUUCCCACCUCUGUUGAACCUUCCUCCCCUUCCCCUAUUCCCUUUAAAGUCACGGCGUUUUUCCUGCUGGCCAUUACGGAACAUAGUCCAGUAUUCCCUCUCAGCAUCACCAGUAACAGGGUCCAAGACAGCAAUGAAAUUUUUCACCGCCAAACCACCUUCCUCAGCAAGUACACCAGCAGCACGUGCUUUCUGUGCAGCCCCUUCACUUUCAAACCUUAUAUAUCCUGAUUCUGCUCCAAUCGCGAAAUCGAUGAACUUUACAGUACCAAAUUUUUGGAAUACGCUCUUCAGGUCUUCACGCAUAACGAUAUCUUUGUUAUCCUUGCAAGCAGCAAUGGAUAAUUUUUCUUCCGCUGAAGCUUGCUCAACAUCUUCAGUUGGAGUGUCCAUGGAUUUCUCGGCAACAACAGGAUUCUGAACAUCAGUCUCCCCAUUCCCAUCCUCUGCAUCUUUUUUAUCACCCUUCUCAACAUUUUCACCCUUCUCAACAUUCUCAUCAUUGUCUCCAUCUUUAAUACCUCCUGGGACCUUCUCAUCUGUCAUUUCAACAUUGUCUACUGUUGUAUCUUUAUUGCCUCCUGUUUCAGGAGCACUUGCGCUUUCAGUAGCCAGUUCAUGAUUACCAUUCUGAUCUGUAGAGCUUUUAGCAGAGAUCCUCUUCAACUUAAAUGCAAUGAUCAAGCCCUUUGGAUAGUCUAGCUCCGAAUUCGAAUUAUUUUUACUAUUUGGACCACUACGAGGAUGGUUUUGCUCAACUUCUUUCUCUUCAAUGGCUCUUUCAACAUCAAAUUCUUUCUUUGGUUUCAGUUCUAAUUCAACUCCUCCAUAAACCAAGUUUUGCUUCACAACAUUAACCGCAUCUUCCUCAUUGGAGAACUCAACAAGAGCAGUGCCACAAAACAUCCUUUUAUCAGCUACAUGACGAGGCAGUCUCACACUGUUCACCUCGCCAUGCUGAGCAAAGAAAGACUCCACGUCCUCCAGCUUGACACUGUAUUCCAAAGGGGAUGCAGCAAUCGUCCUAACAUCAAUUUGCUCAAUAACCUCCUCAGGCUUUGCAAGCUCACUGGCUCUUCCAACUUUCUUCCCAUCUUCUGAAAUUUUAAGAAAAGAAGAAGCUCUUAAAGCUUCAGCAACAGAUUGCACGGUAUCAUCUGAUAUAUCUUCUGCCUUUGCCAUCCCCAAAUCCAAGUGAGACCUCAUCCGUGAAAAUGAACAUAUCAAAGCUAAACUUAUCAACCCAUCUUCGCUUUCUUCCACUGAUUUCCUGAGAAACCCAUCUUUUGGGAGAUUACUAUCACUGAAGUAAAAAUUAACCUGACGAAUGACCUUCUUGACAGUUUCUUCGUUCAACGUUUUAGCCAUUGUUGUUAUGGUACAACAGAGGAGAGAAAACAAGCGUCUAGG